rnacentral:rRNA from 1 species
GACGAACGCUGGCGGCGUGCUUAACACAUGCAAGUCGAACGGAAAGGCCCUGCUUUUGUGGGGUGCUCGAGGUGCGAACGGGUGAGUAACACGUGAGUAACCUGCCCUUGACUUUGGGAUAUCUUCAGGAAACUGGGGCUAAUACCGGAUAUGAGCUCCUGCUGCAUGGUGGGGGUUGGAAAGUUUCGGCGGUUGGGGAUGGACUCGCGGCUUAUCAGCUUGUUGGUGGGGUAGUGGCUGACCAAGGCUUUGACGGGUAGCCGGCCUGAGAGGGUGACCGGCCACAUUGGGACUGAGCUACGGCCCAGAAUCCUACGGGAGGCAGCAGUGGGGAAUAUUGCACAGUGGGCGGAAGCCUGAGGCGGCAACGCCGCGUGCGGGAUGACGGCCUUCGGGUUAUAAACCGCUUUCGCCUGUGACGAAGCGUGAGUGACGGUAAUGGGUAAAGAAGCACCGGCUAACUACGUG